AUUGAACGCUGGCGGCAGGCCUAACACAUGCAAGUCGAGCGAGCGGCGGACGGGUGAGUAAGGUCUGGGAAACUGGCUGAUGGAGGGGGAUAACUACUGGAAAAGGUAGCUAAUACCGCAUACCAUCAGAAGUGCCCAGAUGGAAUUAGCCCGUAGGUGGGGUAACGGCUCACCUAGGCGACGAUCCCUAGCUGGUCUGAGAGGAUGACCAGCCACACUGGAACUGAGACACGGUCCAGACCCCUACGGGAGGCAGCAGUGGGGAAUAUUGCACAAUGGGCGCAAGCCUGAUGCAGCCAUGCCGCGUGUGUGAAGAAGGCCUUCGGGUUGUAAAGCACUUUCAGCGGGGAGGCGUUACUCGCAGAAGAAGCACCGGCUAACUCCGUGCCAGCAGCCGCGGUAAUAC
rnacentral:rRNA from 1 species